GUGCUUGCUUCAGCAGCACAUAUACUAAAACUGGAACUAUACAGAGAUUAGCACAGCCCCUGAGCACGGAUGACAGGCAACUUCAUGAAGCGUUCCAUAUUUUA